rnacentral:rRNA from 1 species
CACGUAGGCGGAUGGGUAAGUCAGAUGUGAAAUCCCGGGGCUUAACUUCGGAACUGCAUUUGAUACUGCCUUUCUUGAGUGUGGUAGAGGGGGAUGGAAUUCCCGGUGUAGAGGUGAAAUUCGUAGAUAUCGGGAGGAACACCAGAGGCGAAGGCGAUCCCCUGGGCCAUUACUGACGCUGAGGUGCGAAAGCGUGGGGAGCAAACAG